AGCAGCCGCGGUAAUUCCAGCUCCAAUAGCGUAUAUUAAAGUUGUUGCAGUUAAAAAGCUCGUAGUUGAAUUUCGGGAUCAAUAUAUUGGUCGUGCCUUCGGUAUGCACUGGUAUUAUUGAUUUCUACCUUCUGACGAACUAUGAUGUCAUUAAUUUGGUGUCAUGGGGAAUCAGGACUGUUACUUUGAAAAAUUAGAGUGUUUAAAGCAGGCACACGCUUGAAUACAUUAGCAUGGAAUAAUGAAAUAGGACGUUUGACCCUAUUUUGUUGGUUUCUAGGAUCGACGUAAUGAUUAAUAGGGAUAGUUGGGGGCAUUAGUAUUCAAUUGUCAGAGGUGAAAUUCUUGGAUUUAUUGAAGACUAACUACUGCGAAAGCAUUUGCCAAGGAUGUUUUCAUUAAUCAAGAACGAAAGUUAGGGGAUCGAAGACGAUCAGAUACCGUCGUAGUCUUAACCAUAAACUAUGCCGACUAGGGAUCGGAUGAUGUUAAUUUUAAUGUACUCGUUCGGUCG
rnacentral:rRNA from 1 species